rnacentral:snRNA from 7 species
AAGUUUAGCUGGAGGGGAGAUACAUGAUCACUGGUUUUCUCCAUUGCACUUUGGAUAAGCUGACCUCCAAAGUUUCCCUAGCAGCAGGAAACUUGGCUGCAUAAUUUGUAGUAGCAGAGGACUGUUCACAACCUCCCUCGU